rnacentral:rRNA from 1 species
UGGGGAAUUUUCCGCAAUGGGCGAAAGCCUGACGGAGCAAUACCGCGUGAGGGAGGAAUGCCUUUGGGUUGUAAACCUCUUUUCUCAGGGAAGAAGAUCUGACGGUACCUGAGGAAUAAGUAUCGGCUAACUCCGUGCCAGCAGCCGCGGUAAUACGGAGGAUGCAAGCGUUAUCCGGAAUCAUUGGGCGUAAAGCGUCCGCAGGUGGUUUCCAAAGUCUGCUGUUAAAGACUGGAGCUCGACUCCGGAACAGCGGUGGAAACUUGGAAACUAGAGUUCGGUAGGGGUAGCAGGAAUUCCCAGUGUGGCGGUGAAAUGUGUAGAUAUUGGGAAGAACAUCGGUGGCGAAGGCGUGCUACUGGACCGUAACUGACACUCAGGGACGAAAGCUAGGGGAGCGAAAGGGAUUAGAUACCCCUGUAGUCCUAGCUGUAAACGAUGGAAACUAGGUGUGGCUUGA